AUGGGUAGAGAUAGAAACAGUUUGAACCCAGGUUCCUUGAUACUCUAUAUACUCUAUAUCGAGUUUGUUUUUGUUUCUCUCCCUCUCCCUUUCCCUCUCCCUCUUCCUCUCCCUCUCCCUUUCCCUCUCUCUUUUCCUCUCCCUCUCUCCUCCUCCCUCCCCUUCCUUAUUUUAUUUCUUCCCUCCCUCCCCUUCCUUCUUUUCUUCCUUCCCUCCUCACCCUCCCUUUCCUUUCUUUCCCUCUUCUUCCUUCCCCCUUCCCUCCUUCCUUCAUCCCCCUCUCUCCUUUCCUUUCUUCCCUCCUUCUCUCCCCUUCCUUCUUUUCUUCCUUCCCUCCUCACCCUCCCUUUCCUUCCUUUCUUCCCCCUUCCUUCCUUUCCCUUUCCUUCCUUUUCUUCUCAUUCCUUUCCAACAGUGAAAGGAAACUUUCAUAAAAUAAUCAGGAAACUCAGACUGACUGAUGCCAGCACUGAACUUAAUGGAGCCUGAUAAGAAGCUUUUGAUUUUUCUUUUGGCCUUAAUUAGUCCUUUCAAGAUUGAGGCAAGUUCAGGGCCAAGGCAAGAAGGAGGCCAGUUGAAACCCCACCCUGCCCUUGACUCUUCAGCAAGGCUUUCUACAAAGGCUGAGCCAGACUUCCCAAUGCAAAGUAUCAAUUUCCUUUGAUUCCACUGAUACCCAGUUUACUUGUGUUAGAUGCUCUGGCUGUAAUUUACCUGUGAUCAGUUGAGACCACACAGGUACUAUAUAGGCUCAAUAGGGUCAGACUACUGAGUGAUGUUGAGGAAUGCAGACAUUCUUGAGGAAGCCCACUUUUAUGAAUCUGUUCUAAUAUUGGCUCACUAAUUUUUCUCCAUCCUUCUUAUUUUAAAUUAAGGGAAAUGGAUCUCUUAGAAUUCUGUGAUUUCCCUAUAGGGUAAGGUACGGAAGGAGUGUCUUACUGAUGCUCUUUGUCUUGGUGUCCUGGUGUCUCCAGGAAGAAGGAAGAUGAAAGGCUAGGCAGGGCAUUCACCCUCAGCAUUUAGGAAGAUAAGGGUUGCCUCUCACAUUUAAUACUAUAGUUUUGUCUAAAAGCGGAUAAAAUUAGUUUUGGCUCUUCCCACUUUGUGCUAACUCUUCUUAGCUUGCCAUCUCAUACCAUGCUGUACUUCCAGAAAUAAUUUUUCUUGACCAUACCCCACUUUCCUUGCUCUAAGCUCAUCUUACCUUGAAACCCAGAAGUUGGGGAGUUGGGGGAGGGAUCGACCAGUUACACUGAAUAUGUCCUGCUAUUACAUCUUUUUUUUUUUUGAGCAAAAAGAUGGGGCUGUUCUAAAAUGCCCAUGGGGUUUCCCCCUGUACAGGCUAAGGUCUUAUGUUUAAGUGAAAGGGAGAGGUGGUGGAGCCUGCCAUUCUGGGGGAACCCAGAGGGCACUAAUGGCUUUUUAAAAUCCUAAAUGAAUUAUGGUAGGUAAGUUCUGCUCCCAUCAGAGGUAAGAGCUAACUAGUCAGCCUGGAGAGACUAUCUCCUGGGACUGUGUGGUGAAUUUCUUCUGCUAUAAAAAUGGAUGUUACAAAUGUGAACUCUGGGAUAGAUAUAAGGUCUAAAGCCUUGGGAAGAACAAGAGGGGAAUGAUGAAUGGGAAGGAGAGUGAAGCUAUCUGACUUCUUUGUUCUGGGCUUUCUUUCUCUGAUGCUCUGCUCUCCUCUCCCCAUCUCACUAAGUAAAGGGAGGUGCCCCAGAACAAGCAGAUCAGUGCCUGUAAAUUCUCUUUCAGAGGGCCAGGGGAGGAAGGAGUGAGGCAGUAUUACAUAAUAAUACAUAAACUGGAAUUAGUCAUCAGAACCAUUUGUUUUGGGACAGAUCUAGAGCCUGGAGGAGAAAGAGUGAAAAGUGUGUGUGUGUGUGUGUGUGUGUGUGUGUGUGUGUGUGUGUGUGUGUUUGGGAGGAAGAUGGGGAUAGGUACUACUUGGGUUCAGGUAUAAGGGGUCAAGGCAGCUCCUAAUGUCCCUGGCCCAUGCAUUCCUUUUCUGAGUCUCUGCCCCAUCUACCAAAUAAAGAGAGAAAUCCUAGAAUGAACA
rnacentral:lncRNA from 1 species